rnacentral:rRNA from 1 species
CCUACGGGAGGCAGCAGUGGGGAAUAUUGGACAAUGGGCGAAAGCCUGAUCCAGCAAUGCCGCGUGAGUGAUGAAGGCCUUAGGGUCGUAAAGCUCUUUUACCCGGGAUGAUAAUGACAGUACCGGGAGAAUAAGCCCCGGCUAACUCCGUGCCAGCAGCCGCGGUAAUACGGAGGGGGCUAGCGUUGUUCGGAAUUACUGGGCGUAAAGCGUGCGUAGGCGGUUAUUCGAGUCAGAGGUGAAAGCCCGGGGCUCAACCCCGGAACGGCCUUUGAAACUAGGUAGCUAGAAUCUUGGAGAGGUCAGUGGAAUUCCGAGUGUAGAGGUGAAAUUCGUAGAUAUUCGGAAGAACACCAGUGGCGAAGGCGACUGACUGGACAAGUAUUGACGCUGAGGCACGAAAGCGUGGGGAGCAAACAGGAUUAGAUACCCUGGUAGUCCACGCCGUAAACGAUGAUAACUAGCUGUUCGGGUACUUGGUAUCUGAGUGCGCAGCUACGACAUUAAGUUAUUCCGUCCGUCGGGUAGGUACGGUCGGCGAAGAAGUUAAAACUAACAAAUAGUAAGUUAGUACGGCGUGGUAGACGUUGCCGAACGGACGACGACGAGGGAGGAGG